AAGUCGUAACAAGGUUUCCGUAGGUGAACCUGCGGAAGGAUCAUUACACUACGUAUACGAACCAUAUACACUCCAUAGGUGUGUGUAUCCGUUCCGUAUCCGUCAGUACUUACACCAAUCUGUGCUCUUUUUCUUUUUUCACUCCGCAUCUCGUGUAUAUCAUAGAUAUACAUACCAAUUCCUUAUUCUGUCUUAUGACACUGAUCCAUUGAGUGGUGUGCACCAGUACUGUAACAUUGUUACUGACAUGCACCCCUCAUCCGUGCGCACAAGCGUAUGCAUGCCCUCACUGUCUCGUACCGUGUGUGUGUGCUUACUAGUACGUGUGUCACUUUAAUGAACCCAAGAAAACAACUCCUAACAAUGGAUAUCUUGGCUCUC
rnacentral:misc_RNA from 1 species